UUCGACACUAAGUGAAAUAGGCCUAGUAAUUGCAAGCAAUGUGUGAUAGGAACAAUUAUUUAUAAUUUCAUGAUUGAUAAUCAAUUAAACUGUGAUUUAGUUUUGAGUUUUAUGGCCAGUGGCGACCGGAGUGGCGUAGGGGCUCGGUAGCCAAAGUGUGGCCACGUUGGCUACCCUCGUGUAAAAACGUCCAUAUAAGAAUCAAUAGUAGUCCUUAGCAAGCUGAGCAGCCAGAUCCAUCGCUAGACUACCUCGUGUAAUAAGACUCUCAUGGUACAUUAUUUGUUAAGGAGGAGGAACAACUUUUUAGCCAUAAUUUAGAUGUUGCCACAUUAUUUACAUAAAAAUAAAGGAGGACACUUAUAUCAAUGCUACUUAAGUUCAUUGCUACGUCUAGGUAAUUUGUCAUUGAAUAAUUUGUAAUUAGAGCAUAUAAACUGCCGAUAUUAAGCCAAGGUUGGAAGAAAAGUAGUGCAAGUUUUCUUAAAUCAUUCUCUUGACUGCCAAGAGAUGCUCCUAAAUAAAGAAGAGUACUAGUUCAUAAAAUUAAGGGCCAGUCGAUUACAAUUUGUGAAACUAUUUUAACACAAGCUAAAAAUACGAGUUCAUACUCCAAAUUUACUUAUACUUUAAAGUGCUUUUUGUAAGCUACAGUAUCCAAUAGUCAAUGCUACAAGUAUAACAACUGGAGCUGUACCAUUGUAAAAUCAGCUGUCAUAAAUGUAGUUAAGCCUUAUCUUAGUGAUGUCCAGCAGCUCUGAUGCCUGAGUCUGCUUAUAAUUGCAGUCAGUUGAUGACAUAGCAAAUGAACGGCUGUCUGUAGCUUGGGAAUCACGGACAAAAGCAGUUUUAGAACAAAACUAGAGAUAAUUUCCCAUCCCUAGUGUAUACGUUAAUUAUCCACUGCAUUUAUUACAGUACACUCCCGAUUAACCAAGGUUAUUGGAAUCAAAACUUUGAGUGGAAAUACACUGCUAUUGUUUACGUUCUGCAGAUGGCUCUACUUGCCAACGGUUUAGUGGUCAAACUAGUACUAUGUGAUUUUUAUUUUCAAGGUUAUUGAGGAUCUCCCGCGCGUUUAAGUUGAAUACUUGUAAUGAUUAUUUGAAUUUAAAGUAUUCAUUUUAACUAAUUGAUAUUUUUACUUUUAAACAGAAACAUACGUUAAUAACGUAAUUUACACAAAUUUUAUGUGUUAAUUUUAUGUGUAUGUGGGGAUUUUUUAUGUGUUUUUUGUUUUGUAUGUGUUAUUGUUUUCUGUUAGAAAUUAAAAAAUAAAUAUAUUUAGGCCUGAAAUAGCUUUGAAUAAUCCAAGGGUUUGGAUAAACGAGAGUGUACUUAGGUAGCCUUUUUAAGAUCAAAAUGGUUCAAGUAUAACGUUUAUUUAUGUCAUGGAUGGUUUAUUAUUAUGUUACUAUUAUUAUGUCACUGUUUUUAUAGACCUCUGAUCCAUCAAAUAAAAUUAUUGGUCUCAUAAUUACUAAUUAGUUGCAAGCACUCAUGACGAAAAUGCUGAAUUUUUAUGUCCUUGAAAACAGGGUCUGAUGUAAAAAGACAAAAAUGUAGAUAAUAAGUUUCCUAUUUAUGAUUCCUAUAAGUUAUAGACUAGUUUAGACAUACUUAAUAUGACUUAAGUUCAGUGUGCUUUUGUACUGGGAUACAUAGGUCUAUUAAAUUGAUUUUGCACUCGCGAAAUAUAGCCUAUUGGUUUUUUAACCAUUGUGAAUUAUGUUCUAAAAAUGACUGCAUAUUUACAUCCAUGAUUUAUUUGGGUUGAAACUUAGUUUAGGUUGAUUAUAAAAUAAAUUGAAUGUUUAUUUAAAGAUAUUAAAAUAUAUAGGCCUACUUUGUCAAAUUGACUCCUUCCAUGACAAUUGUAGCCUAUGCCAAAUUUGUUUGUGAAAAAAAAAGACAAAUAAAAUUAUAUACAGUGACA